rfam:Aedes albopictus isolate Foshan contig27673, whole genome shotgun sequence.
CCUCUCGUAGUGUAGUUGGAAACGCGCCUAUCUAGUGAGUAUGAGUCGUGAGUUCGAGUCUCACCGAGGGGA